rnacentral:rRNA from 1 species
GAUGAACGCUGGCGGCGUGCCUAAUACAUGCAAGUCGAGCGAACGGACGAGAAGCUUGCUUCUCUGAUGUUAGCGGCGGACGGGUGAGUAACACGUGGAUAACCUACCUAUAAGACUGGGAUAACUUCGGGAAACCGGAGCUAAUACCGGAUAAUAUUUUGAACCGCAUGGUUCAAAAGUAAAAGACGGUCUUGCUGUCACUUAUAGAUGGAUCCGCGCUGCAUUAGCUAGUUGGUAAGGUAACGGCUUACCAAGGCAACGAUGCAUAGCCGACCUGAGAGGGUGAUCGGCCACACUGGAACUGAGACACGGUCCAGACUCCUACGGGAGGCAGCAGUAGGGAAUCUUACGCAGUGGGCGAAAGCCUGACGGAGCAACGCCGCGUGAGUGAUGAAGGUCUUCGGAUCGUAAAACUCUGUUAUUAGGGAAGAACAUAUGUGUAAGUAACUGUGCACAUCUUGACGGUACCUAAUCAGAAAGCCACGGCUAACUACGUG